CAGUAGCCGCGGUAAUACGGAGGGAGCUAGCGUUGUUCGGAAUUACUGGGCGUAAAGCGCGCGUAGGCGGUUACUCAAGUCAGAGGUGAAAGCCCGGGGCUCAACCCCGGAACUGCCUUUGAAACUAGGUGACUAGAAUCUUGGAGAGGUCAGUGGAAUUCCGAGUGUAGAGGUGAAAUUCGUAGAUAUUCGGAAGAACACCAGUGGCGAAGGCGACUGACUGGACAAGUAUUGACGCUGAGGUGCGAAAGCGUGGGGAGCAAACAGGAUUAGAUACCCGAGUAGUCCCUGUCUCUUAUAC
rnacentral:rRNA from 1 species